CACAGCUCCAUGAAGUUGUCUGGGGCCCCAGGAGCCCUCUGCUCCGUGUGUCCACAUUUGUGUCCGAGAUGGUCGUGCCCGCUGUCCUUUCCUCUCAGCCACAGCAUGCCGCCUGGCACGGGGAUGGUGUUCCAGGCUGCGGGAAGGGGAAAGAGAACACGGAAGGCGAGAAACUUUAUUGUGAAACUCAGGAAGCAGAAGUUACACACAUCACUUCUACUCAUGGCCCAAAUGUCAUCAGUUCCGGAGGCCAGAUGUCCAAAAUCAAUAUCACUGGGCUGGAAUCAAGGUGUGAGGGUGGGUCUCCCUGUGGGAGCUCCCAGAGGAGGAUGCCUUCCUUGCCUCUUGCAACUUCUGAUGCCCGCCAGCCUUCUGGCCUUCCAUGAUUUGUGGCCACAUCACUCCAUUCCCUGCCUCUGGAAUCGGAUUGCCUUCUCUUCUGCCCAGAACUCUCUACACCCAACGUGGGCCUCGAACCUACAACCCCAAAAUCAAGAGUCGCAUGCUCUAUGGACCAAGCCAGCCAGGCGCUCCUCAAAUUCCUGAAAAUUUGAUUGUGCACUUGAAGAGAUUAAAAGAUUCAAAGAGGGACUAAAGAAGUGAACAGUGAUGAAGCAAUGUCUCCCGGUAACUAUAAAAUUAUCUACAGUUCCCACAGAGGUCUCCCUCCCCGACCAUACAUCUAGCUAGCAUUGGAUGUAACUUCUGUUAGUACUUAACACAUUUCCAGCAAGUUGUACAAAGGUCUAUACCAAGUUGUGAUAUUUGUCGACUAACAUUGUUGUAGUAAUUGUCUGUCACAUCGUACCAAAAGUACAUUUUACACAUUAUUCUGAGCUCAUCCACCUGUGCAGGGUCUGCAGUCCAUCACUUGCUCAUCCAUGUGCUGGUCUAUUGUCUGUCAGUCUUCUGACACUUGGCUUG